GGAUUGCAGAGAGAAAAGUCGUAAGAAAAAGGAAGGGAAAGAGAAAAAAAUAGGAGGGACGUUAAGAGAGAAAAAUGAGAGGAAUGGAUGCAGAGAGUCAGAAAGGGUAAAGAGAAAAAGAGAGAGAUAAUAAGACCGCAGUGAAUGAAAGCCUGCCUGCAUUGCAGACAGACUAACAGCUGAACUAGAGGGUCACUGAGUUCCUCCGGAGCAGAACAGAGUAGAAGAUGGGGGGAAAAGAGAGGAGAGGUGGAGGAGGAGAGAACAGAGAAGGGGAUGUUGAUAAACAAAAUCCUCUUUUUGGAUGAGUGCAGGGACUCCAGACUCCCUGAGCUACUCGGUCUACGUAACCUCUGAGACAAUUAAAAUAAAGCGAGCUCAUGGGGGGUAAGAGGCACGAGAGAGAGAGCUAAAAAAAAAAUAAAAAUCUUUUGGCACUCUGCAAAACUGCAGGCAACCACAAAACAACAAGCUGGAUAUCCUGAAGAGGUUUUUUUUCUCCUCUGCCCUCACAUCUUUUUCUCCCCGUCCAAAGCUUCUGCUUACUUUUUGGAGAAGAGCUGCAUCCAAAAAAAGAAGAACGAACAACAGAUUUGGAAUCAACAGCAACCACAUGCUGAGCUGGGCAGAGCAGCUCCAGUUAUCAUCACCCAAGACAGGACAAGAUACAGCCCAACUCUCCUGAACUUGGCUUAAUGAAAACCGAUGAGGACAGGGGCUGAGAAUGGGCAGCUUGCCGUUUUCAGACCUGGAAACCAGCAGCAGAGCCACUUGCUGAGACUACUCUCAAUCCUGUCCCGACCUCAACCUCAACGGUCCAUGGAGAAAGAAUAACAACACUAAUACUGCCCACCGCUAAUGAUCCUAACAUUUACUUCUUUACUCUGUCAGAUGACAAACACAUCCGAGUGGUAAAUUAUGGGGCUAAUUCUGAGGCAGUAUGAACAGAAUGAAUCAUAAAUGUUCCCUAAUAAGACAUCUAUGGAGGAAACCUCAAAGCCACACUGUAAUGCCCCUUUAAUUCAGUAUGAUUCAUUUGUCAGAUUGUUAGAAGGUCAACAUUAUGAUGGAGCCGGCCACACUGUCUCCCCACAUGCUGCUAAUGGUGAACUAAUAAGGUCAGUUACUAGGUAGUCAGAU